AGGUUGAAGGCGCGGUAAAACGCGCUGGAGGACCGAACCCACGUAAGUUGAAAAUUGCGGGGAUGAGUUGUGGGUAGCGGUGAAAUUCCAAACGAACUUGGAGAUAGCUGGUUCUCUCCGAAAUAGCUUUAGGGCUAGCCUCGCAAAGAGGAUGCUGGAGGUAGAGCUCUGUUUGGACUAGGGGCCCGUCAAGGGUUACUGAAUUCAGAUAAACU
rnacentral:rRNA from 1 species